GGACCUGUAGCAUAAUGGAUAGUGCAUCUGGCUACGGACCAGAAGGUUGGGGGUUCGAGUCCCUCCAGGUUCACAA
rnacentral:tRNA from 6 species